UCCUACACCUCUCCCCAUUCUCACCACGCACAACAUCGGAGGUGCCUUCCGAAGUUCCGAUCCAACUGCCCCAGUCAGGUCGAACGGAACUGCCCUCACCAUCGGUGGGAUCGGGACGCCGGCCUUACUCGCGCUCCUCCGUCCCAUCCAGCUCGGUCGAGCGCCGCCACCCUCCUCCGCGCCCAGACCGCUCGAACACCGCCGCCCUCCCGACUGACGGGAUCGCAGCCGCCGUCCUCACCCACGGCGACUUGCUCCGCACACGCGUUAACGCCUCCGGCCGCACCCAGGACUGCCUCCUCCGCAACCGCGAAAACGCCGCCGCCCGCACCCGCGAGAUUGCCGCCGCCCUCCUGAAGAUGCUGAUGAUUAUAAACUCAAAGAUGAACCUGAACGGCUGAACCUGACCUGAUGCAAAACUGAACCUGGGAAAAUUGAACUUGACAAGAUGCAAAACAAACCUAAUGGUUAGUUAGUUCCUCAUCGUAAAAGCAUUUUAUACCCGCACCAGGGCCAGUUAAAUCAGAACACAUGCCUACACGUUUCCCAUAUCUCGACUGAUAUUAAUUUUGUCUUGCAUACAUGUACCGUAGCAGGUUUUUUCUAGGGAUGUACCAUAACAUGAUAGUCACCUGACAAGCGGGAACUGACAGAUGGCAGAUCAUACAUGACGUAUAGCAAAUAAACCCCAGAAAUCAGGCAUAACUUCUUUAAACGGCAGGCCUGACAAAUGCAUUAUGAUCAUUGCUUUUCCAAAUCUUACCAUUACAUGUUAACAUAUUAUUCUUCUAAUGUUUUCUGAUAUCCUUCUUCGCCAAGGUAGUAGUACAAUCAUGCCCGCAACUCCGGAGUAUGAGAGAAACAGGUUGGCAAGGAUUCAGAGGCCCAAUGCUGAGGAGUCAGGGCCUCUUGCGAACAUACAAAAAAGUGAGGCCUCUUGACCCUGUGGUGUACAUGUCCGCAGCAACAUCAUGCAUGUUGCUACACAUUGGAACGAUUAUAGCAAAGAAGGCCUAGACCAUCAUAUUCCUAAAGCUAUUGGUCAUGUUGCGAAAGACUUUGAAAUGGAUCCACAAGAGGAGGUGUCCAGAGGUGUAUGCACAAAGAUACUCCAGAAGGGUGUUCGACAACAACGAUACAUAUUGAAGAGGAUUAUUUUACGGGUUGUACCCGUGUAGAAGCAUUAUCCCGUAAGCCACCCAAAAUUGGUCAACGAAAUUGGGAAGCUCUUGUUGACAAAUUGCCAGAUGAAAGAGACAAGAACGAGAAGAGCCGAGAAGCUGUGAAGCAUCACCAAACUACAGGCUCUAGGUCUUAUCCUUUUCAUUUCCACAAACUUAAAAAAGACAAGUACAACAAUGAGGACCCUAGUCCCAUUGAGUUUUUCUGAGAAACUCAUACCAAUAGGAAGACAGGAUGCACGAGCCCCGCUACCCUUGAAGCUUAUACUGAUACGGAAACGAAAAGGAGCGAAACAGAAAGAGAAGAUGACCAACCAGCAUAUUGUGGUGGAAGUUCUCAAAGAGCACAGCUCCUCAAGCACCUUCCUUUCAACCAUGGGGUACCAAUCAAGAUGUGGGAGGUCUAGGACAUCAGUUUCUAAAGAACGCGUCCGAGAGUUAGAAGAAAGCGUUGAACAACAAAGAGAGAGACAAUAGAUGCAAAUGUGAUGUACCACAAGAGGCUGCACUUGAAGAGAUGCAAAUGAAGCAACAAUAAGAAUUUACGCCUAUGAAGAAGAGCCAAGAAGAAAAAAAUAAAACAUAUGAAAAAAAAGCAAGAGGAGCAAGACAGCCUUAUUAGCUUCCUCUUACGGAAGCAUGCUAGAAUGCUACCCAGAACUAGACACCAUACAUGACACGGAAGCCACUAUUAGAUGGUGGUGUUAUUCUACCAUCAACUUAGUUUGCUCGUCCUUAGUUAUGUCAAUUUUAUAGUGCUUAACUUAUUUAGUUAUGUAAGAC